rnacentral:rRNA from 1 species
GUGAGGAAUAUUGCACAAUGGGCGAAAGCCUGAUGCAGCAACGCCGCGUGAGUGAUGAAGGCCUUUGGGUCGUAAAACUCUGUCCUUGGGGAAGAAAAAAAUGACGGUACCCUUGGAGGAAGCCCCGGCUAACUACGUGCCAGCAGCCGCGGUAAUACGUAAGGGGCAAGCGUUAUCCGGAAUUAUUGGGCGUAAAGAGUGCGUAGGUGGUUUUGUAAGCGUAGGGUGAAAGGCAGUAGCUCAACUAUUGUUAGCCCUGCGAACUGUGAGACUUGAGUGCAGGAGAGGAAAGUGGAAUUCCUAGUGUAGCGGUGAAAUGCGUAGAUAUUAGGAGGAACACCAGUGGCGAAGGCGACUUUCUGGACUGUAACUGACACUGAGGCACGAAAGCGUGGGUAGCAAACAGGAUUAGAAACCCGGGUAGUCC